rnacentral:rRNA from 1 species
GAUAAACGCUAGCGGCAGGCUUAACACAUGCAAGUCGAGGGGCAGCAUAGAUUGUAGCAAUACAAUUGGUGGCGACCGGCGCACGGGUGCGUAACGCGUAUGCAACCUACCCGUCACAGGGGGAUAAUCCGGAGAAAUCUGGUCUAAUACCCCAUAACAUAUGGAUCGGCAUCGGUUCAUGUUGAAAUUUUCGGAGGUGACGGAUGGGCAUGCGUAGCAUUAGCUUGUUGGUGAGGUAACGGCUCACCAAGGCGACGAUGCUUAGGGGGACUGAGAGGUUUUCCCCCACACUGGUACUGAGACACGGACCAGACUCCUACGGGAGGCAGCAGUGAGGAAUAUUGGCCAAUGGGCGCAGGCCUGAACCAGCCAUGCCGCGUGCAGGAUGACGGCUCUAUGAGUUGUAAACUGCUUUUGUACGAGGGUAAAGUGGGUUACGUGUAACCUUUUGAAAGUAUCGUACGAAUAAGGAUCGGCUAACUCCGUGCCAGCCGCCGCGGUAA